rnacentral:rRNA from 1 species
AGCCUAAAGAAACUGGAUUUUAGGUGAGCCCUGCCCAGCGACAUUAAGUUUAGCGGCCGCAGUACCUUGACUGUGCUAAGGUAGCAUAAUAACUUGUCCUUUAAUUGAGGUCUUGAAUGAACGGGUCCACGAGAAAUGCUCUGUCUCCUGUAUAAAAUUUGCUGAAUUUACUUAAAAGGUGAAAAUUCCUUUGGACACUGAAAAAAGACGAGAAGACCCUUAGAAUUUUGAUAAAAACUAUUAAUAAGUGAUAGGUUGGUUUUCGUUGGGGCGACGAGGUAGCAGAUAGUUAACCUACUUAAAAUUGAUACUUUAUAUGUCGAGUUUUACUACAUAUGAUUAAAUUACCUAAGGGAUAACAGCAUAAUACUUUUAGUGUUUGUGACCUCGAUGUUGGACUAGGGACUAAUUGGUUAGCCACCAGGAUAGAUGAUUCUGUUCGAAUCUCAUACCCU